GACGAACGCUGGCGGCGUGCUUAACACAUGCAAGUCGAACGAUGAAGCCUAGCUUGCUAGGUGGAUUAGUGGCGAACGGGUGAGUAAUACGUGAGUAACCUACCUUUAACUCUGGGAUAAGCCUGGGAAACUGGGUCUAAUACCGGAUACGACCAAUCUCCGCAUGGGGUGUUGGUGGAAAGCGUUAUGUAGUGGUUAUAGAUGGGCUCACGGCCUAUCAGCUUGUUGGUGAGGUAACGGCUCACCAAGGCGACGACGGGUAGCCGGCCUGAGAGGGUGACCGGCCACACUGGGACUGAGACACGGCCCAGACUCCUACGGGAGGCAGCAGUGGGGAAUAUUGCACAAUGGGCGCAAGCCUGAUGCACCGACGCCGCGUGAGGGAUGACGGCCUUCGGGUUGUAAACCUCUGUUAGCAGGGAAGAAGAGAGAUUGACGGUACCUGCAGAGAAAGCGCCGGCUAACUACGUGCCAGCAGCCGCGGUAAUACCUAGGGCGCGAGCGUUGUCCGGAAUUAUUGGGCGUAAAGAGCUUGUAGGCGGUUUGUCGCGUCUGCUGUGAAGGCCGGAGCUUAACUCCGUGUAUUGCAGUGGGUACGGGCAGACUAGAGUGCAGUAGGGGAGACUGGAAUUCCUGGUGUAGCGGUGGAAUGCGCAGAUAUCAGGAGGAACACCGAUGGCGAAGGCAGGUCUCUGGGCUGUAACUGACGCUGAGAAGCGAAAGCAUGGGGAGCGAACAGGAUUAGAUACCCUGGUAGUCCAUGCCGUAAACGUUGGGCACUAGGUGUGGGGAACAUUCCACGUUUUCCGCGCCGUAGCUAACGCAUUAAGUGCCCCGCCUGGGGAGUACGGCCGCAGGGCUAAAACUCAAAGAAAUUGACGGGGGCCCGCACAAGCGGCGGAGCAUGCGGAUUAAUUCGAUGCAACGCGAAGAACCUUACCAAGGCUUGACAUAUACUGGAUCGCAUCAGAGAUGGUGUUUCCCUUCGGGGCUGGUAUACAGGUGGUGCAUGGUUGUCGUCAGCUCGUGUCGUGAGAUGUUGGGUUAAGUCCCGCAACGAGCGCAACCCUCGUUCUAUGUUGCCAGCACGUUAUGGUGGGGACUCAUAGGAGACUGCCGGGGUCAACUCGGAGGAAGGUGGGGAUGACGUCAAAUCAUCAUGCCCCUUAUGUCUUGGGCUUCACGCAUGCUACAAUGGCCGGUACAGAGGGUUGCGAUACUGUGAGGUGGAGCUAAUCCCUAAAAAGCCGGCCUCAGUUCUGAUUUGGGGUAUGCAACUCGACCCCAUGAAGUCGGAGUCGCUAGUAAUCGCAGAUCAGCAACAGCUGCGGUGAAUAUGUUUUCCGGGGCCU
rnacentral:rRNA from 1 species